rnacentral:rRNA from 1 species
GAUGAACGCUAGCGACAGGCUUAACACAGUGCAAGUCGAGGGGCAGCACAGGGUAGCAAUACUUGGGUGGCGACCGGCGCACGGGUGAGUAACGCGUAUGCAACUUACCUAUCGAGAGGGGGAUAGCCCGGCGAAAGUCGGAUUAAUACCCCAUGAAACAGGGGUCCCGCAUGGGAAUAUUUGUUAAAGAUUCAUACGCUGAUAGAUAGGCAUGCGUUCCAUUAGGCAGUUGGCGGGGUAACGGCCCACCAAACCGACGAUGGAUAGGGGGUUCUGAGAGGAAGGUCCCCCACAUUGGUACUGAGACACGGACCAAACUCCUACGGGAGGCAGCAGUGAGGAAUAUUGGUCAAUGGCCGAGAGGCUGAACCAGCCAAGUCGCGUGAAGGAAGAAGGAUCUAUGGUUUGUAAACUUCUUUUAUAGGGGAAUAAAGUGGAGGACGUGUCCUUUUUUGUAUGUACCCUAUGAAUAAGCAUCGGCUAACUCCGUG